rnacentral:rRNA from 1 species
GACGAACCGUCCAAACGUUAUUCGGAAUUACUGGGCUUAAAGGGUGCGUAGGCGGCUUCGCAAGUUGGGUGUGAAAUCCCUCGGCUCAACCGAGGAAUGGCGCCCAAAACUGCGGAGCUCGAGGGAGACAGAGGUGAGUGGAACUUGUGGUGGAGCGGUGAAAUGCGUUGAUAUCACAAGGAACACCGGUGGCGAAAGCGGCUCACUGGGUCUCUUCUGACGCUGAGGCACGAAAGCUGGGGGAGCGAACGGG